UAGCUCAGCUGGUUAGAGCACAUCACUCAUAAUGAUGGGGUCACAGGUUCGAAUCC
rnacentral:tRNA from 1 species